CCCUAGCAAAGAGGUAUAUUGAAAGUUCAUGAAGAUAUAGGACUGAUAUGAAAAAGAAGGCGAGUCUGGAAGUAGAGCAAGGCAUCCAUGGAAUGAAGAAAAUCUGGACUAGAUAAGAUUGAGAGAAAACCUACUCCCAAAAUCAUACCAAUGAAUUAGCUGUCUGGUAAUUGCAGCAGGGCAGAAGCUGUACUUCAUGUGUGACAGUGAAUAUGGGGGGGGGGGUCAUAGUCACUCCUACUCCAGCUUGCUAGAAUUCAGUUCCAGGAGAGGCAAGCCAAGAAGACCUGAGGUUAUCACCUGCUCCCAGUGUGUUGCUUGUAAAGGAAGACUGUAACUCUGGGAAAAGUAGAGCACUGUCUCAUGCCCAGCUCUGGAGUCACUACUCCAGAGAUUUUGCUUGGAGAAAAAGGUCCUGAAACAAAUGAAAAGGAAGCCCUAGAUAAUCAUCACGUGGAAACAACAUGUGAAGCAAGGAAGCUAUUAAAGGAACAAGUAUGGAGAAUAGAGAAAGCAUUGUCAAGAUGGUGAAAGGGGCAGAAGAAUCAUUUUAAUACAACAAAAAUGUACAAUAAGCAUGCGGUUUUGUUAUGUGUUUGUUUGCUAAGGUGUGCCUACGGUGCUCAGUGUUUUUGCCCGGCCCUUGGCCUGAUGCGGCAUAUAAUGGGUACUCAGUAAAGAUUUUUUUCUUUUAAUGAAUUAGUGACUGUGACACAAUUUGGAAUUCUGGGCAUUUUUUCUGGACUGUUCACAAAUUUUUUUGCCUUGAGUUACACAAAUACAAUAUAAGCCUAUGUAUUUUUAGUUCUUUCAAGUGAAAUUUUUAGCAUAAUCUAUUUAAAAUCUAUGUGACAAGAGAAUUAUAGCUUGAAAACGUUUCCUUACUUUAAGGACUGAUCCAAAAAGGAUUGUCCUUCACAGCUCUGUUUCUUAAUGGAGGGAAACAUAACACUGAUGUAUUCUAUGACACAUAGUUUGUACAUAUUAUUUUAUUUAACUAUGCAAUCUUUCUGUAAAGUAGGUGUUAUCAUUGUCCAUUUCAUAGAGGAGGGAACUAAGGCUUACAGAAGUUAAAUAACUUGUCCAAGGUAAAAAGCCAGUAUAUGUGACUACUGAGCUUUUAAACAGUAUGUGUGGCUCAAAAACUUACACUCCCUAACCAUCACAGCAGAGACUACAGAGACGGCACCUUGUAAGACAAAACAAAGCUGCUUUAAAUCAAGAGAAACUGCCCCUUACUUGACAAGUCUUAACCAAAGAUUCUUCCUUCCUGAUAUCUUCUCCAAUUUAAAGCAGAAGUGUGUUUAUAGGAUUUAUAAAAUGUUACUAAAAUCAGUUAGCAUGUUAAGAAAUUUACAUUGCACUCUCUGGCAAACACAAAUUAGAUCUCAUCCAGUUUUCCAGUUCUUUUUCAUUUGAGGAUAUGUGGCACAAUGUAUUUUGCAAGUGCAGCCAAUCAAAGGUAAAUAAUUACACAGACAGAGGAGAGAUGAAAGACAUCUGUCGGUGGACAGAGCUAUCCCAUCCAGCCUGCUCUUCUGACUGGGUGACGUUAACACAUCUCCAUCAAGAAGUGGGCUCUAUUUUUUUUUUCUUAAACCUUAAACAUGGGUAGAACUUUGCAACUGCAUCUACCAACAGAAUGUGGUAGAAAUCAUGCUAUGCACCCUCCCAGAGGAGAUAAAAGUGGCAAUAUGAUUUCCAUCUCACUCACUCAGGAUGCUUACCCUAUGAACUAGCCACUCAUUAUUAACAGAAAGGAAAAAAAAAAACAUGGAGAAGUCCUGUGUGGGUGUGCCGAGCAACAUCUUCAUCCAGGCCUCCAGCCAACAUCAACAAUCAGAACUGGGAGAAGACAUCCCUUCAGAUGAUUCCAGUCCCCAGGUUUUAAUUCUCCCAGCUGACACUGUAGAUCUCAGAGAUCAGAAAGAAGCGAGCCCUAUUGUGCUUUGCCUGAAUUUCUCACUUACAAAAACCAUUAGAAAUAAUGUGAUUGUUGCUUUAAACAACUAAGACUUAGGGGGUAAUAUGUUAUAUAAUUAUAUGGAAGAGAAAUCAAGUUUCUCAUUAUGUCUUCUGCAAAUAAAAUCUGAUCAUGGAAAUAUUAGGAGUUCAGUUGCUCCUGAAGUUAUCUCUAGAUACAUCAACCAAACCUACCUUUGAACCUGGAUGCACAAAGGUAUUGCACAACAAAAUUCUACUAUGGGCACGGGGAUAACAUGUUACAGUGGAAAAUAGAUGAUCUUUGGUCAGACUAUCUAGAUUCAUAUUCUAGCUCCAUCACUGACUGGUUGUAUGAACUUGGAGAAAUUUGCUUCACUUCUAUGCACAUCACUUCCUCAUCAAUAAAGGGAGAAUAACAGUUGUAACUUCAGUUAUUACAAUAAUUUACCCCCAUCCCAGCCAUAAAUCACUUCCACCUAAGAAUCCUAAUUUUCACAGUGCCACACAGAAUUGGAAGGUAAAACAACCUGAGAAAACUUCCUAACUUGGGA